rnacentral:rRNA from 1 species
AGUGAACGCUGGCGGUAGGCCUAACACAUGCAAGUCGAACGGCAGCACAGUAAGAGCUUGCUCUUACGGGUGGCGAGUGGCGGACGGGUGAGGAAUACAUCGGAAUCUACUUUUUCGUGGGGGAUAACGUAGGGAAACUUACGCUAGUACCGCAUACGACCUACGGGUGAAAGCAGGGGAUCUUCGGACCUUGCGCGAUUGAAUGAGUCGAUGUCGGAUUAGCUAGUUGGCGGGGUAAAGGCCCACCAAGGCGACGAUCCGUAGCUGGUCUGAGAGGAUGAUCAGCCACACUGGAACUGAGACACGGUCCAGACUCCUACGGGAGGCAGCAGUGGGGAAUAUUGGACAAUGGGCGCAAGCCUGAUCCAGCCAUACCGCGUGGGUGAAGAAGGCCUUCGGGUUGUAAAGCCCUUUUGUUGGGAAAGAAAAGCAGCAGGUUAAUACCCCGCUGUUCUGACGGUACCCAAAGAAUAAGCACCGGCUAACUUCGUG